AGGUAAGUCUCUAUUGGAAGGGGAGGUUAGCCGAUAACUAACCUUUAACUAGUUCGAAUCUAGUCUUAUCUU
rnacentral:tRNA from 1 species